rnacentral:rRNA from 1 species
GACGAACGCUGGCGGCGUGCUUAACACAUGCAAGUCGAACGAAGAGCGAUGGAAGCUUGCUUCUAUCAAUCUUAGUGGCGAACGGGUGAGUAACGCGUAAUCAACCUGCCCUUCAGAGGGGGACAACAGUUGGAAACGACUGCUAAUACCGCAUACGAUCUAAUCUCGGCAUCGAGGAAAGAUGAAAGGUGGCCUCUAUUUAUAAGCUAUCACUGAGGGAGGGGAUUGCGUCUGAUUAGCUAGUUGGAGGGGUAACGGCCCACCAAGGCGAUGAUCAGUAGCCGGUCUGAGAGGAUGAACGGCCACAUUGGGACUGAGACACGGCCCAGACUCCUACGGGAGGCAGCAGUGGGGAAUCUUCCGCAAUGGACGAAAGUCUGACGGAGCAACGCCGCGUGAGUGAUGACGGCCUUCGGGUUGUAAAGCUCUGUUAAUCGGGACGAAAGGCCUUCUUGCGAACAGUUAGAAGGAUUGACGGUACCGGAAUAGAAAGCCACGGCUAACUACGUG